GAUGAACGCUGGCGGCGUGCCUAAUACAUGCAAGUCGAGCGAACGGACGAGAAGCUUGCUUCUCUGAUGUUAGCGGCGGACGGGUGAGUAACACGUGGAUAACCUACCUAUAAGACUGGGAUAACUUCGGGAAACCGGAGCUAAUACCGGAUAAUAUUUUGAACCGCAUGGUUCAAAAGUGAAAGACGGUCUUGCUGUCACUUAUAGAUGGAUCCGCGCUGCAUUAGCUAGUUGGUAAGGUAACGGCUUACCAAGGCAACGAUGCAUAGCCGACCUGAGAGGCUGAUCGGCCACACUGGAACUAAGACACGGUCCAGACGCCUACGGGAGGCAGCAGUAGGGAAUCUUCCGCAAUGGGCGAAAGCCUGACGGAGCAACGCCGCGUGAGUGAUGAAGGUCUUCGGAUCGUAAAGCUCUGUUAUUAGGGAAGAACAUAUGUGUAAGUAACUGUGCACAUCUUGACGGUACCUAAUCAGAAAGCCACGGCUAACUACUUG
rnacentral:rRNA from 1 species